rnacentral:rRNA from 1 species
CAGCCGCCGCGGGAAUACGUAGGUGGCAAGCGUUGUCCGGAAUUAUUGGGCGUAAAGGGCUCGCAGGCUGUUUCUUAAGUCUGAUGUGAAAGCCCCCGGCUCAACCGGGGAGGGUCAUUGGAAACUGGGAAACUUGAGUGCAGAAGAGGAGAGUGGAAUUCCACGUGUAGCGGUGAAAUGCGUAGAGAUGUGGAGGGACACCAGUGGCGAAGGCGACUCUCUGGUCUGUAACUGACGCUGAGGAGCGAAAGCGUGGGGAGCGAACAGGAUUAGAUACCCCCGUAGUCCCUGUCUCUUAUAC